AUUGAACGCUGGCGGCAGGCCUAACACAUGCAAGUCGAACGAGUGGCGGACGGGUGAGGAAUUGCUGGGAAACUGCCUGGUGGAGGGGGAUAACUACUGGAAACGGUAGCUAAUACCGCAUACCAUCAGAUGUGCCCAUAUGGGAUUAGCUAGUUGGUGGGUUAAAGGCUCACCCAGGCGACGAUCCCUAGCUGGUCUGGGAGGAUGACCAGCCACACUGGAACUGAGACACUGUCCAGACUCCUACGGGAGGCAGCAGUGGGGAAUAUUGCACAAUGGGCGCAAGCCUGAUGCAGCCAUGCCGCGUGUAUGAAGAAGGCCUUCGGGUUGUAAAGUACUUUCAGCGGGGAGGCGUUACCCGCAGAAGAAGCACCGGCUAACUCCGUGCCAGCAGCCGCGGUAAUAC
rnacentral:rRNA from 1 species